UACGGGGGGGAGCAAGCGUUGUUCGGAUUUACUGGGCGUAAAGGGCGCGUAGGCGGUCUGGUAAGCGUGUGGUGAAAGCCCGGGGCUCAACCCCCGGGGUCGGCCAUGCGAACUGCUGGACUGGAGCAGAUCAGAGGCAGGCGGAAUUCCGGGUGUAGCGGUGGAAUGCGUAGAGAUCCGGAAGAACACCGGUGGCGAAGGCGGCCUGCUGGGAUCUUGCUGACGCUGAGGCGCGACAGCGUGGGGGAGCAAAACAGG
rnacentral:rRNA from 1 species